AUGCUCUCUCCGCAAGAGUUCAUCUUGCUAGUCACAACCCUAUGGGCACUUUGGUUUGCACGACGACAGGCGCUACAUGAAAAUAUUUUUCAGAGCCCUCUAUCAACAUACCACUUCAUCUUGAAGUUUGUCCGGGAGCUUGACGAAUGCAAACCGAAGAAAGCAACUACUGGAGCACCGAUGGUGGUUCCUACACUGCCAAGAUGGAUCCCUCCUCCUGAAGGAAUUGCUAAAAUCCGGGUUGAUGGAGCUGUAUCCAGAGAUGGUAAUUUUGGUUUGUUUAGUGCCCUAUGCAGAAACUCAUCGGGCAGCUUUUUGGGUGCUUCGGUUAUCAAGAUACAUGGAGUAACGGAUCCGGCGACGCUAGAAGCACUGGCAUGCCGCGAGGCGCUCGCGCUGGCAGCGGACCUGGGCCUUGCUCGAAUCCUCAUCGCCAGCGACUGCCAAGGGGUAGUGAAAGAUAUCAAGAAUCGCACUGGGGGAGCCUACGCCAGCACCACCAGAGAUUGUGGAAACUUCGACUAG
rnacentral:rRNA from 1 species